UACGUAGGGUGCAAGCGUUAAUCGGAAUUACUGGGCGUAAAGCGUGCGCAGGCGGUCUUGUAAGUCUGUCGUGAAAUCCCCGGGCUCAACCUGGGAAUGGCGAUGGAGACUGCAAGGCUAGAGUUUGGCAGAGGGGGGUAGAAUUCCACGUGUAGCAGUGAAAUGCGUAGAGAUGUGGAGGAACACCGAUGGCGAAGGCAGCCCCCUGGGUCAAAACUGACGCUCAUGCACGAAAGCGUGGGGAGCAAACAGG
rnacentral:rRNA from 1 species